rnacentral:sRNA from 1 species
UGACAUAAGUGUCAUAAGUCGGCACGCGUUCUUGCUUGCAAGAAAAGCGUGUUGACUUCAUGACACGCAAAACACGAGGAAAAAGCAUUUUUUGAAAAAAAAUAGCGGUUUCCGAGUGUUUUCAGGAUUGCGAGAGUUUUCGAAGAAAACGGAGCAAUCCGUAUGUCA